rnacentral:rRNA from 1 species
UACGGGGGGAGCAAGCGUUGUUCGGAUUUACUGGGCGUAAAGGGCGCGUAGGCGGUUUUGUAAGUCAGAUGUGAAAGCCCCGGGCUUAACCUGGGAGGUGCAUUUGAAACUGCAAGGCUUAGAGAUCGAGAGAGGAAAGUGGAAUUACGAGUGUAGAGGUGAAAUUCGUAGAUAUUCGUAAGAACACCAGUGGCGAAGGCGACUUUCUGGCUCGAUACUGACGCUAAGGCGCGAAAGCGUGGGAGCAAACAGGG